GGAGACGGCCGGGGGGCCGCUCCCUGAUGCCGAAGGUCGUGAUUCCUCUCGGCGUCAGGGGGAGGAACUUCCGAACUCCACAGAGCGCGGCGCCUGCUGACAAGGCAGGGACCCGGGAGCCCAAGCUUCCGGGGACGGAAAGUGCCACAGAGAAGAUACCGCCCGUGCGCGUGCACGGGUAAGGGUGAAAAGGCGAGGUAAGAGCUCACCGCCCCUGUCGCGAGGCAGGGGGCACGGAAAACCCCGUCGGGAGCAAGGCGAUGCGACGGCCCGCGUGCUCGCGCAGCCCGGGACCGCGAGGUCUCGGGACAGCCGUCCGGUAGCCGCAGGACCUGGCCGUUGCCAGGCCCCCGACCCCGCAAGGGGUAGGGAGAGAAAUGGUCCCCGCUCCGCCGCGAGGCGGAGGACAGGAUUCGGGGUAUAGGCCGGCUCCCAAC
rnacentral:RNase_P_RNA from 1 species